rnacentral:rRNA from 1 species
UACGAGGGGGGCGAGCGUUGUUCGGAAUUAUUGGGCGUAAAGAGCUCGUAGGCGGCUUGUCACGUCGGGUGUGAAAGCCCGGGGCUUAACCCCGGGUCUGCAUUCGAUACGGGCAGGCUAGAGUGUGGUAGGGGAGAUCGGAAUUCCUGGUGUAGCGGUGAAAUGCGCAGAUAUCAGGAGGAACACCGGUGGCGAAGGCGGAUCUCUGGGCCAUUACUGACGCUGAGGAGCGAAAGCGUGGGGAGCGAACAGG